UACGGGGGGGCAAGCGUUGUUCGGAAUUACUGGGCGUAAAGGGCUCGUAGGCGGCCAACUAAGUCAGACGUGAAAUCCCUCGGCUUAACCGGGGAACUGCGUCUGAUACUGGAUGGCUUGAGUUUGGGAGAGGGAUGCGGAAUUCCAGGUGUAGCGGUGAAAUGCGUAGAUAUCAGGAGGAACACCAAUUGCGAAGGCAGCUCGCUGGGACGUUACUGACGCUGAGACGCGAAAGCGUGGGGAGCAAACAGG
rnacentral:rRNA from 1 species